rnacentral:tRNA from 2 species
GGCUCCAUAGCUCAGGGGAUAGAGCGUUGGUUUCCUAAACCAUGCGUCGCAGGUUCGAAUCCUGCUGGGGCCA